rnacentral:lncRNA from 1 species
CUGAGCAAAGGCGCGGAGAGGGGCGCGGCGCUCGGGCGUGUUCGCUUGUGACCUCGGCGGUUCAAAAGGGGCAGAGGCUUCUUAAAGGCUGAAAAUGGAAGAGGAGCGGAGGCGUGGGAGUUCCUGGAGGAGGGAAGAGUGCAAUGAGAGGAAGAAGGCAGAGCGCAGGGAGAAGACCCAGAAUGUUGGAAGCUCUAUUUAUGGAAGAAUUAAUAGGCUUUAG